rnacentral:rRNA from 1 species
UACGUAGGUGGCGAGCGUUAUCCGGAAUGAUUGGGCGUAAAGGGUGCGUAGGCGGCCUGCUAAGUCUGGAGUGAAAGGUACCGGCUCAACCGGUACAGGCCCUGGAAACUGGCGGGCUAGAGAGCAGGAGAGGGCGGUGGAACUCCAUGUGUAGCGGUAAAAUGCGUAGAUAUAUGGAGGAACACCGGUGGCGAAAGCGGCUCUCUGGCCUGUAACUGACACUGAGGCUCGAAAGCGUGGGGAGCAAACAGG